rnacentral:rRNA from 1 species
CUAUCUACAGGCUUAACACAUGCAAGUCGAGGGGCAGCAUGGUCUUAGCUUGCUAAGACUGAUGGCGACCGGCGCACGGGUGAGUAACACGUAUCCAACCUGCCGUCUACUCUUGGACAGCCUUCUGAAAGGAAGAUUAAUACAAGAUGGCAUCAUGAGUCCGCAUGUUCACAUGAUUAAAGGUAUUCCGGUAGACGAUGGGGAUGCGUUCCAUUAGAUAGUAGGCGGGGUAACGGCCCACCUAGUCUUCGAUGGAUAGGGGUUCUGAGAGGAAGGUCCCCCACAUUGGAACUGAGACACGGUCCAAGCUCCUACGGGAGGCAGCAGUGAGGAAUAUUGGUCAAUGGGCGAGAGCCUGAACCAGCCAAGUAGCGUGAAGGAUGACUGCCCUAUGGGUUGUAAACUUCUUUUAUAAAGGAAUAAAGUCGGGUAUGGAUACCCGUUUGCAUGUACUUUAUGAAUAAGGAUCGGCUAACUCCGUGCCAGCAGCCGCGGUAAUACGGAGGAUCCGAGCGUUAUCCGGAUUUAUUGGGUUUAAAGGGAGCGUAGAUGGAUGUUUAAGUCAGUUGUGAAAGUUUGCGGCUCAACCGUAAAAUUGCAGUUGAUACUGGAUAUCUUGAGUGCAGUUGAGGCAGGCGGAAUUCGUGGUGUAGCGGUGAAAUGCUUAGAUAUCACGAAGAACUCCGAUUGCGAAGGCAGCCUGCUAAGCUGCAACUGACAUUGAGGCUCGAAAGUGUGGGUAUCAAACAGGAUUAGAUACCCUGGUAGUCCACACGGUAAACGAUGAAUACUCGCUGUUUGCGAUAUACUGCAAGCGGCCAAGCGAAAGCGUUAAGUAUUCCACCUGGGGAGUACGCCGGCAACGGUGAAACUCAAAGGAAUUGACGGGGGCCCGCACAAGCGGAGGAACAUGUGGUUUAAUUCGAUGAUACGCGAGGAACCUUACCCGGGCUUAGAUUGCAGAUGAAUUACGGUGAAAGCCGUAAGCCGCAAGGCAUCUGUGAAGGUGCUGCAUGGUUGUCGUCAGCUCGUGCCGUGAGGUGUCGGCUUAAGUGCCAUAACGAGCGCAACCCUUGUUGUCAGUUACUAACAGGUUCCGCUGAGGACUCUGACAAGACUGCCAUCGUAAGAUGUGAGGAAGGUGGGGAUGACGUCAAAUCAGCACGGCCCUUACGUCCGGGGCUACACACGUGUUACAAUGGGGGGUACAGAGGGCCGCUACCACGCGAGUGGAUGCCAAUCCCCAAAACCUCUCUCAGUUCGGACUGGAGUCUGCAACCCGACUCCACGAAGCUGGAUUCGCUAGUAAUCGCGCAUCAGCCACGGCGCGGUGAAUACGUUCCCGGGCCUUGUACACACCGCCCGUCAAGCCAUGGGAGCCGGGGGUACCUGAAGUGCGUAACCGCGAGGAGCGCCCUAGGGUAAAACUGGUGACUG